CGAAAACCCAGAGUCCUACAGAAUGGGGAACUUCGUAGCUGUUGCUGUCAUUCUGGUUUUUUUGAUGGGUUUUCCAGACUCAGAGGCCCAAAAAUGCUACUCUUUUAGCUGGUUCGGCUCGGUGUCAGGCCUUUGUUGCAACGUGCUCGAAUGUGUGGAACCACGCUCGGUUUUGAACAGUGGGGCUGGAACGUGCUCUACUUCAGAUGAAGUUUGCUGCAGUCAUUAAUGACGUGUAUCACAAGAUAUAAUA